rnacentral:rRNA from 1 species
CAGUCGCCACGGUAAUACGAAGGGGGCUAGCGUUGUUCGGAAUUACUGGGCGUAAAGCGCACGUAGGCGGAUAUUUAAGUCAGGGGUGAAAUCCCGCAGCUCAACUGCGGAACUGCCUUUGAUACUGGGUAUCUUGAGUAUGGAAGAGGUUAGUGGAAUUGCGAGUGUAGAGGUGAAAUUCGUAGAUAUUCGCAGGAACACCAGUGGCGAAGGCGGCUAACUGGUCCAUAACUGACGCUGAGGUGCGAAAGCGUGGGGAGCAAACAGGAUUAGAUACCCCAGUAGUCCCUGUCUCUUAUAA